UGAAUACGAGAUGCUACGGCGUCGAAGCAGUCUAUGUCAUACUUCCAAGAAAAGCUUGCACUGUCAUAAACAAAUAAUGCCUGUACCAUAACCGACACAGGUGGGUAGGUAGAGUAUACUAAGGGGCGCGAGAUAACUCUCUCUAAGGAACUCGGCAAAAUGACUCCGUAACUUCGGGAGAAGGAGUGCCUUAUUUAUAAGGUUGCAAUAACAAGACCCAAGCAACUGUUUAUCAAAAACACAGGUCUCCGCUAAGUCGUAAGACGAUGUAUGGGGGCUGACGCCUGCCCAGUGCCAGAAGGUUAAAGAAGUUGGUUAGCAUUAGCGAAGCUGAUGACUGAAGCCCUGGUGAACGGCGGCCGUAACAAUAACGGUCCUAAGGUAGCGAAAUUCCUUGUCGGGUAAGUUCCUACCCGCACGAAAGGCGUAAUGAUUUGGGUACUGUCUCAGAGAGGGACUCGGUGAAAUAGACUUGUCUGUGAAGAUGCGGACUACCUGCACCUGGACAGAAAGACCCUAUGAAGCUUUACUGUAACCUGAAAUUGAAAUUGGACUUUAUUUGCGCAGUAUAGGUGGGAGGCUUUGAAGAUAUUCUUGCGGGAAUGUUGGAGCCAUCAGUGAGAUACCACUCUUGUAAUGUUAGAUUUCUAACUUUGUAUCAUUAUCUGGUCAAAGAACAGUUUCAGGCGGGCAGUUUGACUGGGGCGGUCGCCUCCUAAACGGUAACGGAGGCGCACAAAGGUUUCCUCUGAACGGGUAGAAAUCGUAUCUAGAGUGUAAAGGCAUAAGGAAGCUUGACUGUGAGACCUACAAGUCGAGCAGGGACGAAAGUCGGUCUUAGUGAUCUGACGGUGCUGAGUGGAAAGGCCGUCACUCAACGGAUAAAAGUUACUCUAGGAUAACAGGCUGAUCUCCCCCAAGAGUUCACAUCGACGGGGAGGUUUGGCACCUCGAUGUCGGCUCAUCGCAUCCUGGGGCGGUAGUACGUCCCAAGGGUUGGGCUGUUCGCCCAUGAAAGCGGUACGCGAGCUGGGUUCAGAACGUCGUGAGACAGUUCGGUCCAUAUCCGGUGUAGGCGUUAGAAUAUUGAGAGGAGCCUUCUCUAGUACGAGAGGACCGAGAAGGACACACCUCUGGUGUACCAGUUAUCGUGCCAACGGUAAACGCUGGGUAGCUAUGUGUGGAGCGGAUAACCGCUGAAAGCAUCUAAGUGGGAAGCCCACCUCAAGAUAAGUAUUCUCAUC
rnacentral:rRNA from 1 species